UGGGGAAUAUUGCACAAUGGGCGCAAGCCUGAUGCAGCGACGCCGCGUGGGGGAUGACGGCCUUCGGGUUGUAAACUCCUUUCGCUAGGGACGAAGCUUUUUGUGACGGUACCUAGAUAAGAAGCACCGGCUAACUACGUGCCAGCAGCCGCGGUAAUACGUAGGGUGCGAGCGUUGUCCGGAAUUACUGGGCGUAAAGAGCUCGUAGGUGGUUUGUCGCGUCGUCUGUGAAAUUCCGGGGCUUAACUCCGGGCGUGCAGGCGAUACGGGCAUAACUUGAGUACUGUAGGGGUAACUGGAAUUCCUGGUGUAGCGGUGAAAUGCGCAGAUAUCAGGAGGAACACCGAUGGCGAAGGCAGGUUACUGGGCAGUUACUGACGCUGAGGAGCGAAAGCAUGGGUAGCGAACAGG
rnacentral:rRNA from 1 species